rnacentral:lncRNA from 1 species
AAGCACAUGAAGAUAUUUUUCAGAUAUUAAAAAGCUGGUGGUGGGACGGGGGUGGGGAGGAUGAACUACAAGAUGGACAGCCACCCUACUGCCAAUUUUAUUACUCAUUCCAACCCAAUCAGAUCAAUCUCUUCAAUGAUCAGGCACAUCUCCACCAGUUUUAUUCUUUUCAUUCCCUUCUCCUAGUAUAACCAACUCUUUCUUCUCUGCAUCUUCAAAUCAUAUCCAGUCUUCAAGGUCCAGUUAAGUCCUUGUCUUCCUAGUAUUCUGGCUCAGGCCAAUUUCCAAUGGCAUUUAUGCUUUGAAUAAAAGAAUUCAUCCCUGAAUCAUGCUCACCCUAUAUAUUCUCUGAUUGUGCUAUGUGUGUGAAUCUCAUUUGUCCAUCUAGAUUGGGAGUUCCCUAAGGUUGAAGAGUCUCUCCUUCCAUCAGCAUAGAAGAAUAGUCAGUAAAUAGUCAUUUCUUGUCUGAUGAGGAAGCCCAGUCACAUGGCACCAUGAAAAGAGCAACGGACCAGGAAUCACUGCACUUGGGUUCUGUUCCUGGCUCUGCCACUAAUUUGCUGUGUGACUUUGAAGAAGUAACUCCUCCUCUCUGAGUAUCAGUUUCAUCCUCUACAAAAUGAAGUUGAACUAGAUAGCCCCUCUAUCUGUAACUGAUAAUUGUAAUGGUGCUGUAGGGCAAGGGAACCAGCAACAUGGCUAUUUUGGGCUCUGUGGCAUCUAUUUGGUCAGUCUGAGAACUCAAACCAGGUCUUUAAUCUCCUUGAAGUUUCCUCUCGAAAACCUUAAACCUCAGGUCUCAGGAAGACUCACUCUUACAGCCGAAGUAGUCUGCUUGGUCCAGUCUGAAGUAGCCGUCCUUGCAGGAGGUACACUUCUGACCACAGACGUUGGGUUUGCAGAAGCACUGUCCGUUGCCCUGUAGACAGCAGCCCAGAGGGAAAAUGAGGCACAAGAACCGUCAGGCAGGGCUAGUCUCUGGAGGAUGUCACCUUCUUUUUGACUCUCUGCACAAACCUUCUAUGCUCUGGCCCCUAGACACUCACCUGCUGACAUUCAGCCAC